rnacentral:tRNA from 1 species
AGGGGUAGAGUUCAGUGGUAGAAUGUGUGCUUAGCAUGCACGAGGUCCUGGGUUCAAUCCCCCAGUACCUCUA